rnacentral:tRNA from 2 species
UCCUCAUUAGCUCAGUUGGUUAGAGCACCUGACUGUUAAUCAGGGGGUCCUAGGUUCAAGUCCUAGAUGGGGAG